rnacentral:rRNA from 1 species
UACAGGGGGUGCAAGCGUUAUUCGGAUUUACUGGGCGUAAAGAGCGUGUAGGCGGUUUGUUAAGUCUGGUGUGAAAGCCCUGGGCUCAAUCCAGGAAGUGCAUUGGAUACUGGCAGACUAGAGUACGGGAGAGGAUGGCGGAAUUCCUGGUGUAGAGGUGAAAUUCGUAGAUAUCAGGAGGAACAACAGUGGCGAAGGCGGCCAUCUGGACCGUUACUGACGCUAAGGCGCGAAAGCGUGGGGAGCAAAC